rnacentral:rRNA from 1 species
AUUGAACGCUGGCGGCAGGCCUAACACAUGCAAGUCGAGCGAGCGGCGGACGGGUGAGAAAUGUCUGGGAAACUGCCGGAUGGAGGGGGAUAACUACUGGAGACGGAAGCUAAUACCGCAUACCAUCAGAUGUGCCCAGGUGGGAUGCGCUAGUAGGUGGGGUAACGGCUCACCUAGGGGACGAUCACUAGCUGGUCUGAGAGGAUGACCAGCCCCACUGGAACUCGGACACGGUCCAGCCUCCUACGGGAGGCAGCAGUGGGGAAUAUUGCACAAUGGGCGCAAGCCUGAUGCAGCCAUGCCGCGUGUGUGAUGAAGGCCUUCGGGUUGUAAUGCACUUUCAGCGUGGAGGCGUUUCCCGCAGAAGAAGCACCGGCUAACUCCUCGCCAGCAGCCGCUAAUAC